UUUAAUUUCAUCUCUAAUUAGUCAUGGAUAUUACAACUUCUUGCUCCAUUCUUUUCAAUUCCCAAAUUCCUAUCAUCUCCUUGUUAGGGCGAUCCCAUUUCUAGAUUCACUUUUUCAAUAUGCUUACAAUAUUAAUGAUGCCUACGAAAUGCAUUAGUUUAAUGACAAGAUCUAUUAUCCUAAUGUAUUUUGAUAUUGCGAAGCAUUAUUCCUUUUGUUUGAAAUGGAGAAUACCUUCCAUGAACAUCUUGCAGGUUCUGCAUAUUGUAAUCUUCAAUCUAAUGUGUCAGGGAAGUUAAUCCCUAUACAUGCAUAUGUUUUACUCAUGGAUAAUUUUUGUUAAGUGAAUGCUUAAAGGUUAGGCUGGUAAAUGAGAGCUCAUGGAUAAUUUUUUUCAUAAUCUAACAGAAUAGUUUUUGACAUGUGAUUCAUUCAGGAAGCCGUAUGUAUUGCUGAAGCUUUGUUAUAAAUUUUAAUGUGUGAAUCAUUUGCGCAUAGGGAGUUAUGCAUCUUACCUAUUACCAGCCGCUACAUUAGUAGCUGUGGGAUUAUGUUGUUACAUCUGGUGGAACUGGAAGUCGGUUUCAAGAGCCAGGUCCUUUACUAAUUGUAAAAUUAAUGUCGAGCUAUAUAUGAAAGGUAAGUUAUCGUGCACUCAUUUAUUUUUUCAUACAAGUGAGUGAAGUGAAGUUAGCUUCUUUCUUCGCUUCCCCUCUACAAUCUACAUUCAAGGAUGUUCUAUUUAAUUUGCACAUAGCAUAUUAUGAUGUUGCUAUUGAAUGCAGGUGAAAGCCAUCAAUGCCAGUUGCAAAGAAUUCAUGUUAAAGCCAUCAAUGCAGUACAAAGAAUUCAUGUUAAAGCCAUCAAUGCCAGCUGCAACAACUGUGGGUCAUGCAAAACACUAAUAAUUGCUAUUGUGGAAUUGUUCAUUGAAAUACAUUUGACAUAGAAUAGAUAGUGUAAGGCUACAAAUGGAGAAGGAUGGAGAUUGAUUUGCAUCCAUUCUACAGGAUAGAUAUUGGUGUCCAACUUUGGGUGAAAAUUUGUGUAGUGAAGCAAAGCAAGGGCCAUCCUACAAAAAAUGUCCACAAUUGUUCUAGAAUUGCUUUAUAAAAGGGUCCAAAAGAUGUCCUAUGUAUGAUUGUGCUGGUUGCAAAUUAAUCAGCUGAAAAGAACAAAGAAUAUGUAAACUUGUUAGGUGAUUGUAUUAAAUGCUGUAAAAAUGUCAUUUUGGGCAUAAGUUGUAUUAGAUUGACCAAAAUGGUUCAAAUUUGAGUAUGCAAAUGCCACAUGUGACUAAGAGGCUAUUGCUGUAAAUUGCAUUAAAUUAUAUCACUCUGCUUCUCAUGCCUAAUGUGAGAGCAUCCUUCAUGUA